rnacentral:rRNA from 1 species
GACAGAGGUCCCGAGCGUUAGGCGGAAUCACUGGGCUUAAAGCGUGUGUAGGCGGAUCGUUAAGUACCUUGUGAAAUCCCACGGCUUAACCGUGGAACUGCUUGGUAUACUGGCGGUCUUGAGCCACUUAGGGGCUACCGGAACAAAUGGUGGAGCGGUGAAAUGCGUAGAUAUUCGCAAGAACACCAGUGGCGAAGGCGGCUCACUGGCCCGAUACUGACGCUGAGGUGCGAAAGCGUGGGGAGCAAACAGG